rnacentral:rRNA from 1 species
AUACGGAGGAUGCGAGCGUUAUCCGGAUUCAUUGGGUAUAGAGGGUGCGUAGGCGGCCCCCCAAGUCAGCGGUGAAAUGUCCGGGCCCAACCCGGAGGGUGCCGUUGAUACUGCGGGGCUGGAGUACGGACGCCGGCGGAGGAAUGAGUGGUGUAGCGGUGAAAUGCAUAGAUAUCACUCAGAAAACCGAUUGCGAAGGCAUCCGCCGAGGCCGUUACUGACGCUGAGGCACGAAAGCGUGGGGAUAGAACAGGAUUAGAUACCCUGGUAUUCCACGCCGUAAACGAUGAUGACUAACCGCCGGGGGGAGACUUCCGGCAGCCAAGCGAAAGCGAUAAGUCAUCCACCUGGGGAGUACGGCCGCAAGGCUGAAACUCAAAGGAAUUGGCGGGG